AUAAUCAAUUGUUUUUUAAUUUAAAGCUGGAAUGAAAGGUUUAACGAGAUAUUUACUGUUUCAAUUUAAAUAAGAUUUGAAUUUAAAUUUUUAGUAAAAAUGCUGAAAAUAUGAUUAAAAGACGAGAAGACCCUAUAGAAUUUUAUAGUUUAUUAAAUUUAUUUAUAUUAUGGAUAAAUUUAAUAAUUAUUUAGUUGGGGAAAUUUUAAAAAAAAAAGAAAUUUUUAAUUAAAUUAACAAAUAUUAUUGAAUUUUUGAGUGUUUAUUAUAAAUUAAGAGAUAAAAUUACCUUAGGGAUAACAGCAUAAUUUUUUUUGAAAGUUCUCAUAGAUAAAAAAGAUUGU
rnacentral:rRNA from 1 species